AAGUAACGAUAAAGCGGGUGAAAAGCCCGCUCGCCGGAAGACCAAGGGUUCCUGUCCAACGUUAAUCGGGGCAGGGUGAGUCGACCCCUAAGGCGAGGCCGAAAGGCGUAGUCGAUGGGAAACGGGUUAAUAUUCCCGUACUUGGUGUUACUGCGAAGGGGGGACGGAGAAGGCUAUGUUGGCCGGGCGACGGUUGUCCCGGUUUAAGCGUGUAGGUGUGUGUUCCAGGUAAAUCCGGUU
rnacentral:rRNA from 1 species